UACGUAGGAGACUAGCGUUGUCCGGAAUUACUGGGUGUAAAGCGCGUGUAGGCGGCAUACCAAGUCUGUUGUGAAAUCGCCCGGCUCAACUGGGCGGGGUCAAUGGAAACUGGUAAGCUGGAGGACGGUAGAGGCGAGUGGAAUUCCCGGUGUAGUGGUGAAAUGCGUAGAGAUCGGGAGGAACACCUGUGGCGAAGGCGGCUCGCUGGGCCGAUCCUGACGCUGAGACGCGAAGGCGUGGGGAGCGAACGGG
rnacentral:rRNA from 1 species